GAUGAACGCUGGCGGCGUGCCUAAUACAUGCAAGUCGAGCGAACUUUCGGGAGCUUUGCCCCUCUAGUGAGCGGCGGACGGGUGAGUAACACGUGGGUAACCUGCCCCUAAGACUGGGAUAACUUCUGGAAACCGGGGCUCAUACCGGAUAACAUUUAAUGCCCCAUGGCGUUCAAUUGAAAGGUGCGUUUUUGCUGCCACUUAUAGAUGGAUCCGCGCCGAAUUAGCUAGUUGGUGAGGUAACGGCUUACCAAGGCAACGAUGCUUAGCCGACCUGAGAGGGGGUUAGCCACACUGGGAAUGGAGCAAGGCUCAAGAUGCCUAAGGAAGGAGCAGGAAGGGAACGUCCGGCAAAGGGGGAAAGCUGGACGGAGAAAGGCGGGGUGAGUGAUGAGGGCGUCGGGUCCGAAAGCUCCGGUUUUAAGGGAAGAACAGAUGUGUACGAAAAGGGGGAUAUCUUGACGGUACCUAAUCAGAAAGCCACGGCUAACUACGUG
rnacentral:rRNA from 1 species